rnacentral:rRNA from 1 species
UACAGAGGUCCCAAGCGUUGUUCGGAUUCACUGGGCGUAAAGGGUGCGUAGGCGGUCGGGUAAGUCUGAUGUGAAAUCUCACAGCUUAACUGUGAAACUGCAUUGGAUACUAUCCGGCUAGAGGAAUGGAGGGGAGACUGGAAUACUUGGUGUAGCAGUGAAAUGCGUAGAUAUCGGUAGGAACACCAGUGGCGAAGGCGGUCUCCUGGAGCAGACUUGACGCUGAGGCGCGAAAGCUGGGGGAGCGAACGGG